CCUCUUUCGACAGGGACGAAGCUUUUGUGACGGUACCUGUAUAAGAAGCACCGGCUAACUACGUGCCAGCAGCCGCGGUAAUACGUAGGGUGCGAGCGUUGUCCGGAAUUACUGGGCGUAAAGAGCUCGUAGGUGGUUUGUCGCGUCGUCUGUGAAAUUCCGGGGCUUAACUCCGGGCGUGCAGGCGAUACGGGCAUAACUUGAGUGCUGUAGGGGAGACUGGAAUUCCUGGUGUAGCGGUGAAAUGCGCAGAUAUCAGGAGGAACACCGAUGGCGAAGGCAGGUCUCUGGGCAGUAACUGACGCUGAGGAGCGAAAGCAUGGGGACCGAACAGGAUUAGAUACCCUGGUAGUCCAUGCCGUAAACGGUGGGCGCUAGGUGUAGGGGACUUCCACGUCUUCUGUGCCGUAGCUAACGCAUUAAGCGCCCCGCCUGGGGAGUACGGCCGCAAGGCUAAAACUCAAAGGAAUUGACGGGGGCCCGCACAAGCGGCGGAGCAUGUGGAUUAAUUCGAUGCAACGCGAAGAACCUUACCUGGGCUUGACAUAUACAGGAUCGCUGCAGAGAUGUAGUUUCCCUUGUGGUCUGUAUACAGGUGGUGCAUGGUUGUCGUCAGCUCGUGUCGUGAGAUGUUGGGUUAAGUCCCGCAACGAGCGCAACCCUUGUCUUAUGUUGCCAGCACACUAUGGUGGGGACUCAUGAGAGACUGCCGGGGUUAACUCGGAGGAAGGUGGGGAUGACGUCAAAUCAUCAUGCCCCUUAUGUCCAGGGCUUCACACAUGCUACAAUGGUCGGUACAACGCGCUGCGAGCCUGUGAGGGUGAGCGAAUCGCUGAAAGCCGGCCUCAGUUCGGAUUGGGGUCUGCAACUCGACCCCAUGAAGUCGGAGUCGCUAGUAAUCGCAGAUCAGCAACGCUGCGGUGAAUACGUUCCCGGGCCUUGUACACACCGCCCGUCAAGUCACGAAAGUUGGUAACACCCGAAGCCAGUGGCCUAACCCUUGUGGAGGGAGCUGUCGAAGGUGGGAUCGGCGAUUGGGACUAAGUCGUAACAAGGUAGCCGUACCGGAAGGUGCGGCUG
rnacentral:rRNA from 1 species